UACCAGCUCUCCGAGUGGUGUGGAUGUUUAUUGGGCCUAAAGCAUCCGUAGCUGGCUGGGCAAGUCCCCUGUUAAAUCCACCGAUUUAAUCGUUGGUGUGCGGGGGAUACUGUUCGGCUAGGGGACGGGAGAGGCCGACGGUAUUUUCGGGGUAGGGGUGAAAUCCUAUAAUCCCGGGAAGACCACCAGUGGCGAAGGCUGUCGGCUAGAACGCGCCCGACGGUGAGGGAUGAAAGCUGGGGGAGCGAACCGGAUUAGAUACCCGGGUAGUCCCAGCUGUAAACGAUGCAGGCUAGGUGUUUGGGCGGCCACGUGCAGCUCUAGUGCCGCAGAGAAGUCGUUAAGCCUGCCGCCUGGGGAGUACGGCCGCAAGGCUGAAACUUAAAGGAAUUGGCGGGGGAGCACCACAAGGGGUGAAGCUUGCGGUUU
rnacentral:rRNA from 1 species